UACGAUAGAGUACGUUGUGACAUAAGUUACAACGUACUCUAUCGUACU
rnacentral:precursor_RNA from 1 species